UCGGGCUCUGACGAUACUGGAAAGCGGGUAAGCAGCGGGGAAGUUAAUUAAAAAAUGAAGGACAAACUCAUAAUUGCCGUUGGUUCUCGCCCCAUUUUAUACGACCAGUCCAUGUACACCUACAGGGACACCAUACUCAAAGAUCGGGCAUGGCAAGAUGUGUCAUUGGAGGUGGGGGAAACGGUGCCUGAAUGUGUGAAGAGGUGGAUAUCCCUCAGGGACAGAUAUCGGAGGGGGAGGAUGAAGGAGAAGGAAGCCCAUAGGAGUGGGGAAGGGGCCAGUGAGAAGCAGCCUGUAUGGAGGUACAUGGGGGUGAUGGGCUUCCUAGCGCCAUUCCUCCAAGAUAGAGGGACCACCUCCAACCUCCAGCAUCGGAACCCAUCCCCGGUGUCGGUGGUGGCGGUGACAGAGGAGCAUGGACGUGGUUCACAUGAAGAGGCAGGUGCGCUGUAACCCCCAGCACUAGCAGCAGCAAUGGUAGAUGGGCAGCCACAGCCCCAGCCACGGCCCCAGCAUCGGACAGUGGAUCUGUGGGUAGGAGCCAGUGGCGUGUGCAGCCCCCAGAAGAGGGCAGGGGUAGAAAGAGACCUAGGCCUGAGAUGUCCUCUUUUGAGCAGGGCAUGCUUGCAUUAAUGGAGCCACUGACUACACUUGCCUCGCAGCCGCAGCCACAGCCACAGCCCCCCUCUGAGGACGAGAUUUUUUUUAGGUCACUCCUCCCCACUAUGAGAAGGCUCUCCAGUCCCAGUAGAGCAAUGGUGCGGUACGAGGUGUACCAAAUAGUUUCCAGGGCGGAUGUGGCGGCGCUACAGGUUAGGGAGGUUAGGGAGGUUCGGGAGAAUGACAGUGAGUGAGUGACUGACUGACUGACUGCGUGAGGUUAUAUUUGUGAUGGUGUUAAGUUAUGGUGUUUCUGUCGUUUUGUUGUUCUGUUGUUCUGCGUGUUCUUAAUUAAAAAAAAUUACUUUGA